UGGUCCCAACAAUAUUUAACAUUUAAUAGCUACUAUUUAAAAAUGACAAUUAUCUGAAAAAGUAGAAAAAUGUCUUUGCAUUUCAUAUACAAUUUACACAUAAAACAUGGACAAAAUUAUUAAAGUCACACACACACACACAAACACAUCUUAUUAAAGCAUUUACAAUAAAUGCUGACAUCAAUACAAUGCUGAGUUUUGCCUCUCAAGACUAUUCUUUUUAAUAGUGUCAAGUUUUAUCACUUACUUUUUUUAUACAUUGAGAAAACAAGUACUAAUACAGUAACUGAAGUUGUUACUAUCAAUUCUUUAGUACUCUUACUCACUAUAUAUGAUGGACUCUUGUUCUUAUGACUAGAGGACUUAAAGAACUUUUUGUCAGACAUGUGAUUGAAAUACUCUUGACAAUUGUCGACAUCAAUAUUAAGUGAACCAACGUCUGGUAAAUCUUCUGUCAGUUGAUUCCAUAAAGUGGAUAAUAUUAAUUUCAGUUUUUUAGUAACUUUAAUUGUAACACAAUUAUGAUUUUAUAAGUCAGACAAAACAAAUUCAGCUUAACUGACAAAAUAUUGGAAGAUACAGCCUUAAGCAUUUUUUUUUCAACAACUCAAACAGAGAAAGGAGUGGUCUGUAGCACUACUUUAAGUUUAGUAUUUCAAAUCUUUUUAGUACUUUAAAAUGGUAACAACCACAUUUUCAGAAACAUAGUAUUUCGUGAAGGAUUUUUUUAAUAAAAAUAUUAACUUGUAAAACUUUAUCAAAUGGUGAAUAAAAACUAUAUCUCUUAUCAAAUAACAUUAAACUUUCAGAAUCUUCUUUGU
rnacentral:lncRNA from 1 species